rnacentral:rRNA from 1 species
GGGGUUAAGUCAUAACAAGGUAGCGGUAUCAGAAGGUGCCGCUGGAUCACCUCCUUU